rnacentral:tRNA from 1 species
GUGCCAUUAGCUCAGCUGGAUAGAGUGUCAGACUCCGACUCUGAAGGCCGCGCGUUCGAAUCGCGCAUGGCACGCCA